rnacentral:lncRNA from 1 species
AUAUUUCUUUUUUCCAUUUCCAGAUUAGUUACAUACAGUGCGGAAGUGCUAAUUGAGAUAUUUAUUAAAAUUUGCAUACAAAUUUUUUGUUUGUCCAGAAAAAUUGGCCGCUGUGGCUACAAAGUCUCUGGUCCCAUAGAGAAAAAGGAAAGCUCUAAAGUCAAUUCAGAAAAUGUUUGUCACUUGUUUCUUUGGGAUCUCUCUCUCUAUCAUCUUAUCAUCAUAUCAUCGGCCUCGUCCUCUCUAUCUCUAGCAUAGCAGCUUCCUUCUUCAUCGUUCCCCCGUGAAAGCUAUAUUCUGUUUUUAUUAUAAAACACUCUCUAUGUUAAUGUAAUGUAACAUCCACAUAUACAAAAACCAUCAGUUUCUUUCGUACACAUUUCCUUAUUCAUGCUCUUUGUUCAAAUAUAACAUUUCGGCGCUAGUAAAAGCAACAGUGUGAUUCGGAGACCAACAACAUAUAUAUACAUAUACUUUAUAGUAAUUAUUAUUGGAUUAGAAUUAAACUAUACUACUAAUUGUCCAAGUACUAUAGUUAAAUUAAAUGAAAGUGGGCUCUCAGACAAAUCAAAAAGACAAAAUCAAAGUCACUAAACAAAGUGGCCAUGUGCCACUGCUCAUAAAAGUCUAGCUACUCUCUCUCUCUCUCUCUCUCUUAAGUCUUAACAGAUUCCCUGAUUCCUCUUUCAUUAUAUAUUACUUUAUAAUAAUCUUCUCCUAAUCACCCAAUCUCUGUUUAUUUUAAGUUAUAAUUUCAACUGUCUCGUCUCGAGAAACAGCGUCAUCCCAUCUGUUUAUCUACAUUUUAAAAAUCAUUAUAAUAAAUACUAUAGCAUAUAGUACAUGAUGAUGUAAUGUACGUAACUCUAUCUAACCUAAAAUGAAUCAUGUUAUGUUAUAUAGGGGUAAGAAAAAAGUAGAUAAAAUUACCAUGUUAUGAGGAUGAGGGUAGUAAUAAUACAUGUUUUGGCCGUAGUAACCGUCGGGAGAUUCAACUGCGGCGGCGGCGGCGG